rnacentral:rRNA from 1 species
CCCUUAGAUGUCCUGGGCUGCACGCGCGCUACACUGAUGUGUCCAGUAAGCACCUAACCUCUUCCGAAAGGAACGGGUAACCUUUGCAAAGCACAUCGUGAUGGGGAUAGAUUAUUGCAAUUAUUAGUCUUGAACGAGGAAUUCCUAGUAAACGCGAGUCAUCAGCUCGCAUUGAUUACGUCCCUGCCCUUUGUACACACCGCCCGUCGCACCUACCGAUUGAAUGGUCCGGUGAAAUCUUCGGACCGGGCGAUAGUCAGCAAUGACCGUUGCCUGGAAAGUUGCUUAAACCUUACCAUUUAGAGGAAGGUGAAGUCGUAACA